UUUGGGUUCGGAAAUUAAGCUAGGGUUUUUUUUUGUUUCAAAAAUCACGCGUGCGGAAUUGGGGGAACGUACCCGACGAUCCAGAUGAGGACGCCGACGAUGGAGAUGAGGAGAGAGAGGAAGGCGAAGGGGAGGCCGAGGAGCCAUCCUAAAGGCCGGCACUCGCAGUCGCAGCACAUGAAAGUAACAAGUUAUAGAAAGGAGUAAAGAGAGGCGGCUGCGAUCGGGACUCUUGAACGAAGGGUGCGGGAGCGGAGAAAGUGGACGCGGAGAUUGAAUCAUGGGGGCGGUGGUUGGCUUGUUUAGUUGGUUAUUAUCGAUAGUGAUUCACGCUUUGACUCGCGCGUUGUUGUAUUUUGUUGCGGAGCUGGGGGUGCAAGCAAGUCUCGGUAGGCUGAACGCCGAGGCUGUGGUUGUUGUUGUGAUUUCAAUUUUGACGUUUUUAAUUUCUUUAUUAAAAAGAAAUUUUUUUAGGUUUUUA